rnacentral:pre_miRNA from 11 species
AACCGCACGGGAUAAUCCAUCUUCCCGUGCAGUUGGGUUAAGUGGACCGCACGGGAAGAUCGAUUAUCCUAUGCGGUC